GCAGAUAAUGGUCCCUUUCCAAACGUAAGACUCCCUGACUGGACACCAUUUCCCUAACUCAUCAGAUGAGGAGCCUGGGGCCAGGGGAGCCAUGGGCCUGCCUGUGGAACCUGGAUCAGAGGGAGCACUGGAACCCAGUCCCCAAGCUCCUCCCUGGAUACCUGCGGGUGAGCCUCCUCAUGAAGGGGGCCCUUGGGGUCCGAGCCCAAGGUACAACAAGGUGAUCUGAGAAGUUU